rnacentral:rRNA from 1 species
AAUGAACGCUGGCGGCAGGCCUAACACAUGCAAGUCGAACGGAUCCUUCGGGAUUAGUGGCGGACGGGUGAGUAACGCGUGGGAACAUACCCUUUGGUACGGAAUAGCCUCGGGAAACUGGGAGUAAUACCGUAUGUGGUCGAGAGACGAAAGAUUUAUCGCCAAAGGAUUGGCCCGCGUUGGAUUAGGUAGUUGGUGGGGUAAUGGCCUACCAAGCCGACGAUCCAUAGCUGGUUUGAGAGGAUGAUCAGCCACACUGGGACUGAGACGCGGCCCAGACUCCUACGGGAGGCAGCAGUAGGGAAUCUUAGACAAUGGGGGAAACCCUGAUCUAGCCAUGCCGCGUGAUCGAUGAAGGCCUUAGGGUUGUAAAGAUCUUUCAGGUGGGAAGAUAAUGACUGUACCACCAGAAGAAGCCCCGGCUAACUCCGUGCCAGCAGCCGCGGUAA